CUCAGUCUUUCUCCCUAGUGUCCCACCAGAAAAAAAACACCCAAGGAGUGCCAACCCUCCCUGUCAGCUAUGGAGUUUACACCAAGGAGGUAGGAGGCUUCCUUUGACAAGAGAAUCAGAACCGACUGGUGACAUUUGUUUCAAUGAAAGCAACAGUGUGAAGAGUAAGUAGUUUUUCCUAUUAUUCAUCUCACUCAGUGGAGAUAAUGAACUCCUCUCCACUGCCAAGAUGAGAAACUACCAUUUCUUACACAUGGACACAAAGAUGAGAACAAUAAACACUGAGACUUCAAAAAGGAGGGAAGGAGAAAGAGGAACAAGACUUGAAAUCUACCUAUCAG
rnacentral:lncRNA from 1 species